rfam:Camelus ferus unplaced genomic scaffold scaffold1687, whole genome shotgun sequence.
GAGGGUAUAGCUCAAGUGGUAGAACACAUGCUUAGCAUGCACGGGUCCUGGGUUCAAUCCCCAGUACUUCCU